rnacentral:tRNA from 1 species
GGGGUUGUAGCUCAAUGGUAGAACACUCGCCUUGUAUGUGUGAGACCCUGGGUUUGAUUCUCAGCACCA